UCUGCACUUCUCCAGCCAUUAUGAAGACACUGGUUUAAAUCUAACGACCCCAGAGGGGUCUAGUCUAAAUCAGAACACUCAUAUUUUGCAGAGUAAAAGAGUAAAGCAGCAAAUCUAGAAAUGCAGCCAUGUUGAAGAUAAUCUUUCAGGAAAUGGACAAAAUCUGCAGUUAUUCUUCUGGCAAAGCUGCCGUGGAUUGGUCCCAUAAUGUCUGUAGUAUUUACAGAUUCCACAACUAAGCUGAAAAAAUCAUCCUGUCUCUGAAAUCUGUUAAAGUACAUGCAAAUCUUCUAGUUACAGUGGUAAAUUCCUACUGAAAUCUGUAUUGUUUCAACUUAUACAUAUAUCCCCAUAUUUUAAAAGUAAUAUUACACUUUAAAGCACAAUUAUAUGCAGAUUAGCAAAACAUUUUCCACAAAUACAUGCAAAUGUGUUGCAGUGCCACCCGAACAAAAAUUGUAAGAAAAUACACAGAGAAAAGUUUCUGAACUAGGAGAGGAAAGUUGUGUUCAGUCUGUAUUACGUAAAGAUUGGUUUAAUGGCUGGUGGUGAAAACUGGAAAGGAGGAAAAAAUAUUUAAUGAAUGAAAUCUAGCUUUUGCGAGGCCGAAGAAAAAUCUGUUUCCUGAAGCACUGGAAACGUGACUUGAGAAAACCUACAAACUCCAGACGAUUCAGCUGAGGCCGCCAGUGUAAUCAUAGAAUGAAUCAUAAUCUCACUUAAGCUUCUGCGAUUUCAUUUCAUUAGUCAGAGCAAGCAACAUCUUCACGUGUCUUCAUCCCUCCUUAGAAAGAAAGUAGAGCGGACAUGGAUGCUUACCAGAAAGCAGUGAUUUUAUGCCAAAAGCGAACACAACAAGUGAAGCUAAAAGUACUAGAGAGCGUUGCAUAAAUGUGGUGUGUGAAGAUUUUUUUUCCUUCAGAUUUGAUUCUUCUCUACGUUGAGAUUGUCACCCAGGAGCCAGAUAAAGAAGUGCCUGAGAUAAUAGCUGUGUCUGGAUCAUUCACGCCAGUUUUCUGAUGGCAAAGCCUGGAGCUAGAAUAUGUGAGCUGCCCUAACACAGUGUUCCACUCUUCUUGGACCUGAAAGCCCUCCUGGCUGCCUCCCAGUUCCAUGAAAUCUGCUGCUGAAACUGUCAUUGGAAGCUUGAGGGAGAUGCAAGGAAAAGCAGGACACACAAAUAAGAGAGGCAGAUGACUGGAAAUUCAAAGCCAUUAGGAACAGACCGAUGAUGGGCUCUGGGACCCCUGGAGCUCUGAGCUGGAGGACCGUGACUACAGGAACAGUAAACUCCCAGCCAGUCCAGAACUUGUGCAGGAUUUGCUGGUCCAGCUGGACACAGUGCAGCACCAACAAUGGACCUUUUAUGGGACCCCCGCUUCUUAUGGAGUGCUUGAUAUAUGAAAGUCUCUCUUCAGAGCUGUCUGCCUUGUUACAAUAUCUUCUAUGGACAGGGGCAGGCAUUUUUCAGUCAAGUUCAACUAAGUGGCCCACAAGGGAGCUGUCUCUGUUGUCCAAGCUAUCAAGAUACAUUUAUGAGCCAGCAUCAGUUGAUAAAGAAGGCAAGCUACAUCUGUCCCCCAGCACUUGAGGUCACCGAGCAAUUCCAGGACUACCCCAACACUCAGAGGACAUGUCUUCUGAGCAGCACGGGAUAGAUGGUGUCAUAUCUCACACUCUUCCGUGACAUUAAUGUCAUAACAGUCAUUUAUAGCAUUUCUUGGUGGAAAGCUACCAGAUAUGGACCUCUUCCAGCCACAAGAAUUUGCUGACCUCAUGGGAAAAGGUAUGAUUGUAAAUCUGACAAUUAUAAAAAGGCAAGAUAUAUCCUUCUUUACAGAUAAUGAGCUAGAGACAUUUGAAAAUUAAAGUGAUAGAAGAACUUAAAUAAUCAUUAAAAGAAUUAUUUUAAAACAUUAUUCCCAUGCAUGACAUGUAAUCCAGCAUUAAGGAUUUUAAUAAAUAAAAACACAGCAAACAAAACCAGACAUUUUCUGAACAGCAAAGCCACUUCAGUUGGUGCCUUGUGCAGUUAUGUCUUAUAAUGGUGCCUCACAAGGUAUGUUCACCAACCGAAGCUUCCAUGGUUGGGACACUCAAGUAACAUUGCCCUCAUGUGGAUUUUUUUGAGCCUAAUAGGUAGCAGGUUCAUCCUGCAACCUUUUUCUGAGAGAAAGGAAGAAAAAGAAAAUCUAUUAGGAACAACCUAACAUUUAAGGUGUACACAAUUCAUCUCUUAAAAGGACUACUUUUCUUUCAAAUUGGUUGAAAUUAGUCAAUUCAACAGAGACAAGUCAGAGUGGAAGGACAGAUAUAGAAGUGUGUGCACAAACCCACAGACUGCUCAUAUAAACUUUAUUUCCUUAGGAAGUCAGGAUAAAAACAUCUCAGUGAUUAAUACACAAACAGUGAUCGCUCAUAUCCUGCAGACUUUCAGGAAAUAACUGAAGCCUGCAAGUAUAUUUAACUGAGUCUGUAGCAGACAAAAUUAACUAAAAGAUGGAGAUGUAAUUGCCUGAGUCUGUACACAAAGUCAAGCUGAAAGAUAAAUGGCAGUUCCAUUUUCCUGUUGACUGUUAAAGUAAAUUAAUUAUCUGGGGUCAUGGAUUUGUUUCCAGAAAUAGGAAUGUGAAUCUCUGAAUUUGAAAGAGUUUGUAAUAAGUAGAAAAUGAAAGUGAUUUCUCAGAUAGAUUACCAUGCAGCUACAAUACUUCUGGGCCAUAUUUGCCCUUUUGAGGAUCAUUUCACAGAAGUGUGAAGUUUCUGCAUAGUGCUGCAGUAGACAAGGGUAACAUUAUUUAUUUGAUAGCCUCACCCUGCUUUUUUCCUAGGAUCUGGCUUUGGUUGGAGUUUCCCAUUACAUGAAGUUGAUUGCCCAGAACAAAUACGAUCAUGCUGUAACCCUUACAUGGUACUCAGUCUCAAGACAAUUUAGUUAUUUAACAAAUGUCCUCCAACAGGCAUGAUGUGCAGUGCAGCAGGAAUUACAGUUAUUUCCUGCAGUGAGUAUGAGGCUGUGGAUGAUGCCCCUGUAGCAGCAAAAUGGUGGAAUAUGGGAGAUGGUGGGCUCCAUGGCAGCUGGGAGGGACAGCUGGACUGUGAGACAGGGAGGACUGAAAAGAAUGGAAAAACAGCAGCAGCAGCAGCAAAAUAGCAGGCAACAAAUAGGAAGUGAGGAAGAAUUAUGGUAAAAUAGUUGAAAGCAUGUGAGGAGACCAACGGGCCUGAUGCUGACACUGGCAGACAAAACAGCUAAGAAUGCUGCUAUCGACAGCACAUGCUUGCAGCAGUGCACCGUGGUGAAUGGAUUCUGGCCCAUCAGCCAGGAUUGCUGUAGUGCAGCAGUGGCAGGUGCCAAAGAAAAUCAAAUGCCUGUUUUCUAGUAGUUUAAGGGCUGCUCAGGCUGGCGGCUGUAUGUAGGCACUAUUGCACCCUUGUCUGGUGCUGCUCCGUUGUCACUGUGUCAUAAAAUUCUUCUGUGAGAACAGGCUAGCCCUCAGUAACAGACAGGUUUAGCUUUCUACACUCCAAAUGUCAGCAAUCCUUGCAUGCAAAGGGCAGUGAGGCUCCCCUGUAAGAAAACAGAGCACAGGAACCUACCAGCAGUAGCUGAGACCUGAAGUGCCAGUCUAGGGAUGGGCUGGGUAGGUCUUUCUCGAUUUCUUCAAAUCAAACCAUUAGCAACCAGUCCUUGAAAACAAAGAAAGAAACAAAACAUAGGGACUAGAGGUCUGGAAACACCGGAUUAGACAACAGUUAAAAAUCAGAUGCUGAAGAAACUAUGCAAUAAUGAGAGUCCUAAAAGGACACAGAAAGCCCCUGAAAACAUAAGGAAGAUAUAGAAGAAUGGAUCUGGAAAGAUCAUGGAAAAGGAAAGACCAACUGAUUGACAGCAGGUGGAAUAUGAAGAUGGAAAGGAGGAAGUUAAGAGAUGUGGCAGACAAAACUACAAGUGGGAAGAGAGAGAAGAAACUAGAAUAAUGGAAAAAGGACACUACAGAGACCUGGACUGGGAAAGAACAGAAGCAAGGGAGAAGAUUUAGAAGUCUUAACACCAUCUGAGAAGUGUACAUCAGAACAUGCAUCCAUGUUUUUUUUUGUGUUUUUUUUUUUUUUCCCCUGACACUUGAAAAGUAAUGAAACCUAUGCAAGCAAUUAGCUUCAGGUAGAUCACAGGGCAACUGUAAUAUUCCUUUAUACCAUCAUUAUUUCACGUGAUGAUAUGUUGUUUAUGUGAGACGUUUGCUGGAGAAUUGCCAUCAACAUUAAUGAUGUUAUAUUAACAGGAGAAAAAAGCGACUCCACUGGCUUCCUUGCCCUUCUCUUCUCUGUGCUAAGCAAUUCUGCUGCUGUAUAGAAGUUUUCUGAGCAAUGUCUAAUGCAAUUUACAAACUGAAUUUCUUUUUACAUUGAGUUGACAGUGGGUGUUUAGUUCUUUUUCAUUGUAUUUGCAUCCCAAUAAACACUGCCAUUAAUCCAUGUUUCUUUAUCAUGAGUUGUUCUAAUUAGUCUGUUCAAAAAGUUAGGUUAAUCAAUAG